rnacentral:rRNA from 1 species
UACGUAGGGGGCUAGCGUUGUCCGGAAUCAUUGGGCGUAAAGCGCGUGUAGGCGGCCCGAUAAGUCCGCUGUGAAAGUCCAGGGCUCAACCCUGGGAUGCCGGUGGAUACUGUCGGGCUCGAGUCCGGAAGAGGCGAGUGGAAUUCCUGGUGUAGCGGUGAAAUGCGCAGAUAUCAGGAGGAACACCAAUGGCGAAGGCAGCUCGCUGGGACGGUACUGACGCUGAGACGCGAAAGCGUGGGGAGCGAACAGG